rnacentral:misc_RNA from 1 species
UUUCCGUAGGUGAACCUGCGGAAGGAUCAUUAAAAAAUUGGACUCCAUUGGUGAGUUCAUUAUAAUCCCUACCCUUUGUGAAUUUGUUUGUUUGAAUAAUUUUUUUUCCAAAAAAAAUUAUUGAAUGUCUUUCCUUGUUUUGGUGGAGCUUGUAAAGUGAAACCAGGCAGGGGAAUGGCAAACAAUAAUUAUUUUUGAAAAAGACCUUUUUUUAAAAUUAAACUUUUUGUAUUCAUUUGUCUAAAAUUAAUUUUUAUAAUAUAAAAACAACUUUUGACAAUGGAUCUCUUGGUUCUCGCAACGAUGAAGAACGCAGCAAAAUGCGAUAAGUAGUGUGAAUUGCAGAAUACGUGAAUCAUCGAAUCUUCGAACGCAUAUUGCACUUUUUUAGUUUACUAAAAAAGUAUGUCUGUUUGAGUAUCAGUAAAAUAUUCUCAUAAAAAACAUUGUUUUUUUUAUGGUUAUGAGUGUUUUACAACGAUAACAAGUUGUUUCACUUUAAAUUCUUUGUUAUCAAAAAAAUCAUUAAAAGCUAAUUUUAAAGAUUUUUUAAAAUUGGAUAAAAUUUUCCCGUAAAAAGGAAUAACCUAAACAAUUUUAAAAAAUUAAAAUUGGUUUGAUUUUUUUGAAACCCAAAGGAAAAAAAAACGAAGUUAACUUGAUCUCAAAUCAGAUAAGAGUACCCGCUGAACUUAAGCAUAUCAAUAAGCGGAGGAAAAGAAACUAACUAGGAUUCCCUCAGUAACGGCGAGUGAAGCGGGAAGAGCUCAAAUUUGAAAUCUUCAAGGUUUUACCUUGACGAAUUGUAGUUUAAAGAAGUGUUUUCUGUUGGAGUUUUGGUAAAAGUUCUUUGGAAAAGGACAUCAUAGAGGGUGAGAAUCCCGUAUUUGACCAUUAUCUCCAGCUUUGUGAUACACUUUCAAAGAGUCGGAUUGUUUGGGAAUGCAGUCCAAAAUGGGUGGUAAAUUUCAUCUAAAGCUAAAUACUGGCGAGAGACCGAUAGCGAACAAGUACCGUGAGGGAAAGAUGAAAAGAACUUUGAAAAGAGAGUUAAACAGUACGUGAAAUUGUCAAAAGGGAAGCGUUUGACACCAGUGUUGUUUUCUCGAAAAUCAAUUAAAAAAGGCCGGAUUUUGUGUUGUAUUGACUUUAUCAGCUUUCUGCACUCUUUUCUUGUCUUUUUUAAUGCACUUUUCGUUUAACAAGUCAACAUCAAUUUCUUUUGUUGUAAAAGGGUCAUUGGAAGGUGGCUUUCUUUUCGGAGAAAGUGUUUAUAGCCUUUGGCCUCUGCAAUCGGAGAGAUUGAGGUCUGCAGCGUAGAUCCUUCGGGUUAGAUACAUUUGUGCUAAGUUAUAGCCUUUCAUAGACAACUUGUUGACUAUGAUCAGUCAUGUAGCUUACUCGCUUAUGCUAUUUUACCUACGCUUAGGAU